rnacentral:rRNA from 1 species
UACAGAGGUCUCAAGCGUUGUUCGGAUUCAUUGGGCGUAAAGGGUGCGUAGGCGGCGCGGUAAGUCGGGUGUGAAAUCUCGGAGCUUAACUCCGAAACUGCAUUCGAUACUGCCGUGCUUGAGGACUGGAGAGGAGACUGGAAUUUACGGUGUAGCGGUGAAAUGCGUAGAUAUCGUAAGGAAGACCAGUGGCGAAGGCGGGUCUCUGGGCCGAUACUGACGCUGAGGCGCGAAAGGCGUGGGGAGCGAACAGG